AAGUCGUAACAAGGUUUCCGUAGGUGAACCUGCGGAAGGAUCAUUAAAGAGUAAGGGUCUCCGGCCCGAACCUCCAACCCUCUGUUGUUAAAACUACCUUGUUGCUUUGGCGGGACCGCUUGGUCCUCCGAGCGCGUCGGUCUUCGGAUUGACGAGCGCCCGCCAGAGUCCAACCAAACUCUUGUAUUAAACCAGUCGUCUGAGUACAAAAUUUUAAUUUAAUUAAAACUUUCAACAACGGAUCUCUUGGUUCUC
rnacentral:misc_RNA from 1 species